GGGCGGUUAGCUCAGGGGAGAGCACUCGCUUCACACGCGAGGGGUCGGCAGUUCGAUCCUGCCACCGCCCACCA
rnacentral:tRNA from 1 species